rnacentral:lncRNA from 1 species
GAAGGAAACAGCCAGUGCUGUGCUGGAAAACCGGCCCUGGGGGACGGCAGCCCCGAUGCAUGGCGUUUGUCAGUUUCUGCGGAGUAAGUCAGCCUACCAUGGCCAAGUUCAAGCCCCCAACCUGAGAUCACUGAACACAGAGCUGAGAAGUGAUGCACAGAAUCAGCUCUCAAGAGCCACACCCCUGUCAGCCUAAGCACAGGUGAUACAAACACGAGGCAAUGUCAAAGCAGCGUGAUCAGUGCCACCACUGAUCAGUGCGGAUGAGUACAAGCAGCACACAGAAG